UCUCUCAGCUUCAGCAUUCCCACACUGACAAAAACAAAGCUCAAGAGUGCAGCUCCCAAAAUGUCUACAAUGCUGGUCCUUCCCUGUCCCUACCUCAGUCAGAGAACCUCCCCCUUUUUUCCUUCCAGGAAAGCCCCAGAGCUUCUUGGCCUCCACCCAAUCUCCUUCCCCAGGGAAGCCAGGAUUCGGCUGGAUUUCAGCGGCGGUAUCAGCCUAAACCGGGGGAAUGGGAAGAAGGCACUAUGGGCCAUUGUUUUACAGAAGAGGUUACUGAAGUUGGGAGAGGGGCUGUAUGAACCAAUCUUUCUAAUCGGAUUCCAAUGAAGCACCUGCUUUCUGUCCAACUCCAGCUCAUGAGUGGUGUCGGUCCGUAAGGAGUCUGCUUUCUUCACACCCUGACAAGGUACAGCAUUUAAGAGCUGCCUCGAUGUCUUAUUUGUGUACGUAAGAGAAAAUAAACAGCCCUCGCUGCUUAAGCUUUGCGUAAGGAAGUGUAGAAACCCUUCGUUUAGCCCAAGAUGGUAUUUUCGCUCUCUGAAUAAUAAGCAUGCCUAACUCCUAGAACUAUGUGCAUUAUUCGCUUGUAGCCCUCCUAAUUCACAUCCCAUUCAAGUCCUGGCUGUUUCGGAAACCAGUAUUCUGUUCUAGACAAGAGAAAUCAGGUUAUUGUUGGCUUGUUGUUGUUUUUGUUUUCUAUGACUCAAAACUCCUAUGGGCUGUGGCCGGAUAAUAUUUUUAUCUCUGUCGCCCCUGAGCUGAUGUCAUGGAAAGUUUGCAAGACGCUAAUCUAAGGAAAUGUGAGAUGUACCACCGGAGAGUUUUGUCUGUUCGUUUAUCCAAGUAUUGACCCUACGAUGUGCCAGUUGCUGUUCAGACACAGAGGAAACAGCAAAGCACACAGAGAAGCUCCCUGCUCGCGUGGAACUUGCAACUUCGCAGAGGAGAAAGCCCACAAGACACACGUAAGCUAACAUAUGAACACAAAAACCUUAGAAUACCAAGAAGUGUGACCACGUUAAUUCUAAAAGUCGAUGGGAGAGAAAUGAAUAGAAGGAGGGUGGAAGCAACUUCAGCUACAGGCAUCUGGAAAAGCCUCUCUGAGAAGCCAAGAGUUGAGUUGCGCCUGGGGCACAAGGAAGCAGUGCCCAGGAGGAGACCGAAGGCAGAGGGUGGCAGACGAUGGCCCGUCCCCAGACGCCAGCCGACCCCGGUUUUUGGCGCGCCCUGCAAGCCAAGAUUACGUUUUACGUAUUUCAGUGGCGGAAAACAAAUCUAAGGUAGAAAAUAUUUUGUGACACAUAAAAAAUGAUAUAAAAUUCAAAUUUCAGGGUCUGUCAAGGUUUGUUGGGACAAAGCCAAGACCAUUUGUUUACAGUCACAGAGUCGAGUAGUUGUAACAGAGACCGCGUGGCCCCCAAAGCCAUCUGGUUAGGAGGAAGUUUGCUGAGCCCCGAUAGGAGAGGAUCAUUCAGACAGAGGGAAGCACACGUGCCAAGUCCCGGGGCAGAGACCUGGUGGACCGCAGGGAGGCUGGAAUGCCUGACAGACUCACAGAGGCCAGGUUCGGGGGGCACAGGGCGUUUUUGUCACCUGAUCAUAUGCAACCUGUGACAUAGGCAGUAUGCUUUUGUCUAGUCACUACGCCAAACAGCUCCCACUAACUGAGAGCAAAGCCAAAGUUGUAUAGUUACAAUGGACGGCAUUCGACCCCACCCUCCUUGACCGGUGUGACCCGGGAACUCCUAAACCUUCCUCUUGCCUCCCUUUGGCUCGGAGCAGCGGUUUACCAGCUACAACAGAUGAUCCGAAUCCCAGCUCUGCUGCUUACUGGCUGUGUGAACUUGAACGAGUGAAUUGACUUCUCCCGGGCCGCCAAUUCCUCUUGUAGCUACUACUACCUAACUUAAGGAUUUCUGUGAAGUUUUAAAUUAAAUGAGAUGAUGGUGAGCGCUCGGAUUAGCGGCCGCUGCUAUUAUUACUGAGCAGAAGUGCCACUUGGUAAAUGUGACGAGCCGGCCCCGCCCUGAGAGAACCAGAUUUAGUCAGUCUAGGGUGGGGCACAGGAGUGUGAACCCCACGUUGAGAAAUACUGCCCCAGGAAGACAGGUGUGCGGCCAUCUGGCCUGGCAACGUGACCUGGCCUAAGGCACUGAUAAACAGUAACUAUGUAUCGUUGAAUGGGUAGAGAGUUUUGGGGGCGGGAUUUUUUUUUUUUUUUUUCCUAUGCAAGCCCAAGCCUGAGUGUGAACAAACAAGGGGAGGUGGAGGUAAGGAUGGGGGUGGGGCAGACCUCACACCAACCCCACUCUGUGCGAAUCAUGUUAAGUGCUCUCCCAUUGCAGGCAAGAGCCUGUGCGGGUUAAGUUGUGCAUAGAAAGUUCUGUGAAUCCAGCAGUCUCUUGUGUGUUUAUUUCCAUUCUUGUCCCGUGGAUGACGGUUAGUGUCCUUGUACUGCGCUUCCUGGGGAGACACUACAAAGGGAGACAGGCUUCCUAUUUUCCCCUCUUUCAUCAGGGACGGGGGCCAGGAGGGUAAAUGAGGGAGGUGGGACUGGUGUGAGGCAAUAGAGAGUGGUGUGGACUGUGGUCAAUCAGAGAGCCCGUGCUGCACCUAUGGGACUAGC